rnacentral:tRNA from 1 species
GCCCAGAUGGCGGAAUUGGUAGACGCGCUGGUUUCAGGUACCAGUGAUGAAAGUCGUGGAGGUUCGAGUCCUCUUCUGGGCA